GACCCAAGACUUACCUGGUCUCACCUACAGUGUUGCCUAGGACUUGAUCUGGAGUCUUGGCUGCUUUUGGGUUUCCUGAUUUACCAAAUCCUGAAAGUAUUCCUUCUCUGGCAGCCUUGUGAUUUGUCUUCACUGAGGCUGUUCAUAUGUGCAGUGGAAGGACACUAAUCUGGAAAGAGACAGAGUGCAAACAAGGGAGGGGCAG